CCCGAACCGAAGACCAGGUCGCGCGUGCAUCAAAUCCCUAGCCCAACUCCUCCAACGCCCCCAAUUCCGGCCGCCGGCGUGAUCCGCUCCGGCUAAUCGCCACAUCGCCGCCGGUGUGCUCCUCGACGCUGGACCCAACUCCUCUGCUCGACGUCCUCCAUUCCCGCGGGCACGGCCGCGUUCGUUGGCGGCCCAGGUCGCGGCACCGUCGUAGCUGCUCGUCGGCCUGCUCCUCGACGCCGGCCUGCUCGUGGCUCUCCAUCCCCGCCGGCACCCACCAUGUUUUCCGGCGGCCAAGCUCGCGGCGCCACGCCAUCUACCCUUGUCAUGCCGCUGCCCAUGGCAAUGCUCCUCGGCCACAUUCGCGGCGCUGCCGGCUUAUUGUACAGGCUUCAUACGCCCCUUGGCUCCGGCCAACCGUUUCGACGCUGCUGUGUCACCCUGGUCGCUUCUCGGCAAACAGC
rnacentral:rRNA from 1 species